rnacentral:rRNA from 1 species
GGACUACCGGGGUAUCUAAUCCUGUUUGCUCCCCACGCUUUCGCGCCUCAACGUCAGGUAUGGACCAAGAAGCUGCCUUCGCCAUCGGUGUUCCUCUCGAGAUCUACGCAUUUUACCGCUACUCCGAGAAUUCCACUUCUCUCUUCCAUCCUCUAGCACAUCAGUAUCUACUGCUGGCUCCCGGUUAGGCCGGGAAAUUUAACAGUUGACUUAAUAUGCCGUCUACGCGCCCUGUACGCCCAAUGAUUCCGAAUAACGCUCGCACCCCUCGUAUUACCGCGGCUGCUGGCAC